GACGAACGCUGGCGGCGUGCCUAAUACAUGCAAGUAGAACGCUGAAGGAGGAGCUUGCUUCUCUGGAUGAGUUGCGAACGGGUCAGUAACGCGUAGGUAACCUGCCUGGUAGCGGGGGAUAACUAUUGGAAACGAUAGCUAAUACCGCAUAAGAGUAGAUGUUGCAUGACAUUUGCUUAAAAGGUGCAAUUGCAUCACUACCAGAUGGACCUGCGUUGUAUUAGCUAGUUGGUGGGGUAACGGCUCACCAAGGCGACGAUACAUAGCCGACCUGAGAGGGUGAUCGGCCACACUGGGACUGAGACACGGCCCAGACUCCUACGGGAGGCAGCAGUAGGGAAUCUUCGGCAAUGGACGGAAGUCUGACCGAGCAACGCCGCGUGAGUGAAGAAGGUUUUCGGAUCGUAAAGCUCUGUUGUAAGAGAAGAACGAGUGUGAGAGUGGAAAGUUCACACUGUGACGGUAUCUUACCAGAAAGGGACGGCUAACUACGUG
rnacentral:rRNA from 1 species